AAGCUUCGCAUUUCAUUUCACUCUGAACCUCUCUAGCUCUUUACACGAUGAAGAACUUCCUCUAUCUCUCUAAAAUUCUCGCUCGAUUUACCGUUUAAUCUUACCAUUCUGAGUGUAUAAUCAGUAUAUCCAUUCCAAAAUCAAUACUUGAUUUUGGAAUAGAUCUUUGAAUCUGAUGUCUCAUAACAACACUACUUAGCAAGGAAGGGAGUUCGCAGCACCCAGUUCCAGCAUAAUGUUUCGCUCCAGAAUUCAUCUCACAAUCAAUUCAGGUUAAAUGAUGUUCGCAGUCCUGUACACAGUAUCAGUACUGUCCUAGUCUACAGGUAUUUCUGAUUUUAAGAGUGGUGUUGUGAUUGUCACUUCAGUGGGUGAUCUCUAGGAAAAAAGGGGGAUGGUGAAUUUUAUGUUCCAACUGAAAUUGUAGGCAUUGAAGGGUCUUUUGGCUGGGUGUACAUCUCUUGCACGUCACCGAGAUGCAACAGAAAGCUCAAGCAAGAAGGAGAUGAUCUGGUUUAUUCAACUUGUGAGAAAAAAAUAUAAAGAAGGAAUGAUCAGGUAUAGGGUGAUAGUGAGGGUUCUAGAUAAAUAUUUAUGAGAUUCUCCCUUCCUUUUAUGGGAUAGGGAGUGUUCAGAUUUAGUGGGUAUCCCUGCUAGCAUUUUGUACAACAAGGGGUCUGAUAUUCCAAAAGAAUUGGAAUCCUUAAUUGGAAUGACAAUGAUAUUUAAGAUAUCAUUAAAAAUGAACCAAAUGAAGGGAGCUACUCCAGCCUUUACUAUUAUGAGAGUUUUGAGGGAUGAACUCUUAGUCUCUACGUACGGUUCAAAAUUGAAGGAGAACCAAUUCCAAGAAAAAGAUUUGAUGCCUAAAAUGAUAAAUGAGGAUGAAGUGGAGGAUGAUGAAUCAGAUCAGGUAAUUAUUUAUAUUUCACAAAAAAAUGUCUUUAAAAAAAUUUUUUGUGGUUAAAAAUUAAUAUUUUUAAAAUUAACAAGAAGCUUCUAAUGGAAAUGAAGUAAACAGCCUAAUCAGUGCAGAAUAGUCCAAAAGGCUUGACACUGACUUUGAAGACUCAAAUGGUGUGAAGAAAUCCCUUAUGGACCAAUUCUCUUCAUCAAACAAACUUAAGAAGACAAAAAUGUGACUGUUAAGCAAGAAAAAAUUUAAUUUCUGAGUGUAUUUCAGAAGUGGUCAUUGGCUUGAGACAAUAUACCACCUUUGUGUGGUAUUUUAUCUUUUUUGUGGUCUGGUAUUGGGACAUUCUGAAUCAAUAGCAAUGUGGCAGUGCUAUCAAACCUACUUUUUGUUGUGGAUUGGACUAAUUAAAACUUUUUGUCGAUGAUUUACCUAUGUCAUAUGUUUUUAAAUCA